rnacentral:rRNA from 1 species
UGGGGAAUAUUGGACAAUGGGCGAAAGCCUGAUCCAGCCAUGCCGCGUGUGUGAAGAAGGUCUUCGGAUUGUAAAGCACUUUAAGUUGGGAGGAAGGGCAGUAAGCGAAUACCUUGCUGUUUUGACGUUACCGACAGCAUAAGCACCGGCUAACUCUGUGCCAGCAGCCGCGGUAAUACAGAGGGUGCAAGCGUUAAUCGGAAUUACUGGGCGUAAAGCGCGCGUAGGUGGUUCGUUAAGUUGAAUGUGAAAGCCCCGGGCUCAACCUGGGAACUGCAUCCUAAACUGGCGAGCCAGAGUAAGGCAGAAGGUUGUGGCAAUUCCUGUGUAGCGGUGAAAUGCGUAAAUAUAGGAAGGAACACCAGUGGCGAAGGCGACCACCUGGGCUCAUACUGACACUGAGGUGCGAAAGCGUGGGGAGCAAACAGG